CUAGAUUUUUUUUCUCUACAUAAAUAAUGCAAAUAAAUGAAGUAAAGAUUAUACAAAUCACUAACUAAAAUUAAAAAAUAAAAACAAUAGAAAGACAUUACAUUAAUAAUCAAAUAAAAAUAGGAUAAAAGUUUACUUACAGUCAAUGUGCAGCCAGAUUCCGUUAGGGGAAAUUCUUCUUCGGUACUCCGUCUUCAGUGAGAGAGUCUCUCUCACACACUGGCCUCCGAGGAAUAAAACAUCUCAGCAUAGUCUAUAAUGCAGGCACGCUCACAUCUGAGCUGCCUGCAUUACAAGGGAAUGACGUUAGACGUCCAAGAGGAUGCCUGACAUCAGCUCACUGUGAUUCUAACAGUGAGGAUUGAGGAAGCACCCUCUAGUGGCUGUCUUAGAGACAGCCACUGGAGGUGGGAAUAGGGACAAAAAAAUACACUGCAUUUUCUCAGAAACGGCAGUGUAUUUAAAAAAAAAAAAAAAAAAAAAGUAGAGGUACCUGGCACCAAGACAACUUCAUUGAAAUGAAGUUGUCUUGGUGCCUAGAGUGGUCCUUUAAUGGAUGGAUUCUACAGGCAAUAUCUUUUCUUUAUACCAAUCCCUCAGCUAGGAUAAUAGGAUCGGGAAUUACUUCUUCUUGGUUUAAAGUUCAAAAUGGAACUAGGUAGGGUUGCCCCCUCUCCCCUAUGCUAUAUAUAGAGCCCUUAUCCCAAUAUAUUAGAAUGAAUAAAAACAUCAAGGGAAUUCAAUAUGAAUAUAGAGAGUCAAAAUUAAGUUUGUAUACUGAUGAUGUCAUAAUGACACUAACAGACCCUGAACAUUCUAUUAAUCAUCUCCUUAAAGAAUUAUUUGGUAAUAUGUCAAAUUACAAGCUUAAUACAUCCAAAUCAACCAUUAUGAGCUGGAAUCUAGACAAAGAUUGCAUAGACAUUUUAAAGAGAGAAUAUAGCUUUAAAUGGGAAACUGAAAGCAUUGAAUAUCUAGGCAUAAUACUUCUCAAGCAAAAAAUUUAAUCAAAGCCAAUUGGGAGGUACUGUUAAAUCAGACUACCAGAUUGCUUAAUGACUGGAAGUCUUUGGAACUUUCAUGGCUGGGACGAAUUAACGUCAUACAAUCCUAUGUACUUCCAAUUUGGAAUUAUCUCUUUGGAGUGAUUCCCACAUGUCUAUAUAGGUCGAAUCUUUUGAAAAUACAGAGAAUAUUCACUGACUAUAUAUCUAAAGGGAAAAAGCCGAGAAUAAAAUGCGAGAUAUUAGAGAAAAGUAUAAAUAAAGGUGGACUAGCUAUCCCCAAUAUAAAAAAAUACCAUGAUGCUGCGAUCCUUAAACAUAUUUCUAAAUGGUUUAAAAUGGAAUCUAAAGAUUUUUGGUAUGAUAUUAAGAAAUUUAUGUUGGAAAUAUCGGAUCUUUCCUUCAUAUUGUGGAUGCAUCCUAAAAGAUUGGGUAUUGACAAAAUUUUAGAUAAUAAAAGUGGGAAAAACUAUUUUACUUAUCAAAUCCUAAAGUUCUGGUUCAGAUUUAAGAUAGAACACAAGCUAUCACGGGCUAAUAGUAUCAGAGCUAAGAGUAGCAUAGAUCUUCUAGAAUAUAAUAUGGAAGAAAUUAAUUUAUCUACAUAGAAAAAUAAUGGUAUAAAUGCUUUAAUAGAUAUCUUAAAUGGCUCUCAUAUUAAAUCUUUUCAUGAAAUAGCUCUUGAAUUCCAUAUACCCCCCAAAAAAGUUCCCUCCUAUCUGAGAAAUAUUACAUGGAAAAAAGAUAAUGAAAUCAUAGGACUAGAUUUCUUAAAAUAUGGAGAAAAUGUUAGAACUUUAAUGAAAAGCCCUAUUUUUGAUGAUGAAGAUCCAUCUAGAGUAAACCCAGUUAAUUGCAUUAUAAAUAAAGAGAAAAGUGAUCUUGAAAUGGAGAUUCUAAUUUCAGACUGGUAUAAGAUCAUACCAAAAGUCAAGAAAUCUAUACAUUGCCUCAAUCUUAUAGAGUUACAAUACAAUAUAUUAACUAAAUGGCAUUUGGAUCCAAAGAAAAUCAAUAAGAUGUUCCCUACAUAUUCCUCUCUUUGUUGGCGAUGUAAUCAUCUAGAAAGUUCCUAUAUUCAUAUCUGGUGGAAUUGUCAGAAAUUAAAACCCUUUCGGGAAUUAACAUAUAACAUAUUAGAGAAACGUACGGAUGCUCAUAUACUUUUUCCUCCCAAAACUUCCCUAUUACACCUUGAUUGGCCUAAAUUGUUGCAAAACAACGGAUAUAUAGCUACUCAUAUUCUGAUAGCAGCAAAAAAAUGUAUUGUUAAAUCUUGGAAGCAGAAAGAGUCUCCAACAUGGGCAAUAUAAUAUUGGAAUAACUUUAUCCAGGAAGCUUAAGUUAUAUACCCUAUAACGGACUCCCCCAUACUCUGACCGAGUACCCUCCGUUGAUGAACGCUUUCAGGCUUGCGCCUGCCACAAGCACUGCACCGGACACCACAACCACUGCAGACUCCACAACCGCCGUAGCUUAACUGGAGUCCCGCCGUCUUCCUUCCACCCUGGAUCAGCCUCUGUCCUCCAGGACCGUGUGGGAAAGACCUCUCCUCGAGGAGAGCAUAUCAGGAACAGCUCUUAGAAGAGCUAAGUGAUUAAAGCUCAGGGGAGUAUAUAAGUAUAGCAAUCCCCAGUGUGAGUAUAGCUGCCCCCUCCAAUCACGAGACAAGACUACGUGUUGAGGAUCAAGAAGAUCUCUCUUAAUCAGCACCAAAGGGCUUUCUUUUAUGCAAGUUUUACACACAAAGUACCACCCACAUGGUUUUGUAGAACAGCCAAUCAAACACGUACAAUAGAGUAAAACACUCCCAUUCAUUUCAGCAAAAUCCUCCCCUCUGCCUGUGAUAUAAUUACUGUACACAAUGGGUUAAUGUAAUUAUCACAGGCAGAAAAAAUACAGUUUUUAUACAAUACUCAUAACUCACAAAAUAUACAUACAAUCUCCAUACAUAUUAUUAAUCAGCAUACUUCAAAUACAAACAUACCCAAAAAUCAGACAAUUCCCUCCAGUCGUUAAAAAGUUAGCUGGAAGUCAUUUUUGACCGACCCCAAGCAUGCUUUCCUGCCCAAAACAGUUUCAGAUUUGGGCUGUGCAGUCGGUAAUUUCACUCAGAAAAAUUACUAAGUCCCAUUCGAAUGCACGAACGGGGCAAUGUUCGUGCAAGUAGUUUAGUCUAACUGUGCGUUUGAAUUAUCGAACGGAACUUCGUUUUCAGCUGAAGCGUCGAAGUGGAGCAGAAAGUAAGGGUCAGCUGUGUUUGUGCAAAUGUGUAGCCGAUUUUAGUACCAUGGAUUUGGCUGCACACAUGGCUGACUGCGUUCGAACAGCAGCCCCCCAGCAGUCGGAAAUUAACCUUGCGGUUGACCACCAGCCUCGGAGGUAAACUGGCUGCACACUUCCCCUUGUGUGGUCCGCCUGUGCAAUAAAUGAUUCAGUAAGCGACAAUUACUGAACCAUAUGGGGAAAAGCAAUGUACAAGUUAUUUUCACAGUCUGGGGACUCUGGGGGCACAGUUUUAAAGGGGCAUUGUUCCAAUUCUCCCUAUGUCACAAAAAUGUGCUUAAAGGGGCAGCACCAGUCCCAUAAAAAUCCAUAAGCCCCAAUAAUGUUUUUAAAGGGCCAUACACCCCUGGGCCAUAGUCACAGGGCAGGAGGCUGGCAAGCAGGCCUCUCCAGGACCAAGUGGCGAAGGGCACUUCGUCACAUAGCCUAAAAUAAAAGUUGAGAAAAUUCUGAAUGGUUGUAUAUCAAUUUUUAUUUAGUAUCUUGAGAUACCUCCCCGCAUCUCUCUACCCUCCCUACUCCUUCGGGAUUGUGCGAUAGGGGUUCAGUGUAUAAAAUAUGGCUAAAAUGUAGGAUGUGUGAUAUCGAGAUUUAAAUUGUGAAACCUUUAUUGCAUUUACUUAUUUUUAUCUUCUUUAUAUAAUGAUUAGAGACCAUUGUGUUUUGCUUUGUCUUUUUAUGUUUCAAAGUUUGUCAGUGUCUUAGUAUUAUUAAAUCAUAGUAGACUGACCAAUAUGUUGACUUGAUUAAUAAGUUUAUUAAGACUGUUAAGGGUCUUGGGAUGUCAAAUUUUAUAUUUUCGAUGAUAUGUGAUUGUUUGUCCUUUUUUUAUCUGAAAAAAAAUUAAUAAACAUUUAUAUUUAUUAAAAAAAAGACACCUUGUCAUCUAUCUUGUCUAAACUUCAUUCGCGUAACAAGAGCAUGACCAAGAUAGAAACCAUCAUCCCUAACGCAUCUAAUGUUCUAUCCCCCACACCUGCACCCUCAAACACACAAAGUAAUGCCAUUACUAUUACUCCCUCCACUUCACACGUCAUCGCCCGUGCACAUUCGGUUCCAGCUUCCAUUAAGAAAGAUAUUCUAGAUGGCAAGGAUGUCAGCCUAGUAUCACUCCUUUUUGCUUUGCAGGACAUUUUAGAAAAUAGAGCUUUUAAUUACGGAGAUAUUUCUGUGAUGCUUAAAACAAUGGACUCAUGUCUUAAUAAAAACUCUCAAUCCCCGAAUUCGUUCUCAGCUUUAGACUAUAUGUCAUCUGCUCUGUAUACCCUCAGAGGCAAGAGGAAUUCGACCUCUGUUUACACAAGGUGGUGGAUUUAAGGCACAAGUACGGAAAUUCCGCUUUCUACGAUUACCUCAAGUCGGUAUCAUCUAAAGCAGCAGCAGCUCUGGCCCAGUCAACACUCAUAUCGAUUGGAGUCAGUUGGACAUAGAGCUGUUCUGCAGGCAUUUUGCUGGCUUGAGACCCCCAUCUUGUGCGGUUUGUUCUUCUACCUCACACACUCCUCCAACCCACACCCCAACCGGUGCCCUAGGUACUGCACCUCAGCCAUCCUCAGAUGGCACUUGCUGGGCUUUAGGGUCAAUCCUGCUUCCCUAAUUCUGUUUAGUUCAGCCCCUACAUGUAUCCCAAAAUGCAUUACCUUAAACUGGUACAGGCCAAAGGGGUUGACGAAGGCAGACUUGGGAACGGCAUCUGCUGCUAGGGGAAUCUGCCCCUUACACAGGUCGAUGGUAGUGAGGUACUGGUCUCGGGCCAUACUAUCCGGAAGCUCGUCUAUACGGAGCAUGGGGUAUGCAUCGGAGAUGGUUUUAUCUUUGAGCCUCCUGUAAUCCACUCAGAACCGGGUAGUCCCAUCUCGCUUCGGGACCAGGAUGACUGGGGAGACCCAAGGACUUGUGGACGGUUCUAUGACCCCUAGCCGGAGCAUCUCCUGCAGCAUAUUCCCCCAUACAACCUUUGGUACCUGGUAUGGGGCUUGCCGCAGAGACUGUUGGUCGGGGGUCUCCACUCUGUGGGUGGCUAAUGGGGUAUACCCUGGCAGAUUGGAGAACGUGGCUCUCUUUACGGACAGCAUCUGCUGUGCCUGUCUGCGUUCCCUCUCAGUUAGUCAGUCCCCUAAGUGGAACUCCUCAAUGGACCCUGCCUAGGCUCACUCCUCCAGGAUGUCAGGCAGGUGAAGAUCUUCAGAGGCUGGAGUACAUUUAGCGGCUACAUCCUCUGUCCGCUCGUGGUAGGGCUUAAGCAAGUUAGCAUGCAACAGGCGUCGGACUCCAGUACCUGAGCACGGGCCGAUCACAUAUGCACAUUUCUGUUCCACCACCUGCAGCCUGUCAUGUUAGACGGGUUUCAGCACAAAAACCUUCUGCCUGACUUGAAAGCUGCAGCUCCUGGUGCCCUGAUUAUACAAAGUGUGCUGUUGUCACUGGGCCACCUGGAGGUUCUCCCGCACCAGAUGGGUGAGUUCCUCCAGCACAAAUGGGACGAUGGGGUUCCCUUCCUGUUCUCCAGCUCCCUCCCAUUGCUCCUGGUCUAGGUCUAGGGGCCUUCCCACUCUCCGCCUGAAUAUCAGCUUGAACGAAGAAAACCCGGUAGAUUCCUGGGGCACCUCCCGGGAAGCGAAC